UCAACUUUAUUAGAAGAGACGCAUUUAUUAGAUAAAAAGCCAGUUCAUGCUUUUACAGUAUGAAAAUUGGUGAUUUAUAAUAACUUAGCAAAUCGCAAAGUGAAAACAGGCGAUAAAUCAUUCAAGUUUCUGACCUAUCAGCUUUCGACGGUAUGGUAUUGGCUUACCGUGGCAGUGACGGUUAACGGGGGAUUAGGGUUCGAUUCCGGAGAGGGAGCCUGAGAAACGGCUACCACAUCUAAGGAAGGCAGCAGGCGCGCAAAUUACCCAAUUCUAACAGUUUGAGAGAGGUAGUAACAAGAAAUAACAAUACAAGGCAGUUAAAAUGCUUUGUAAUUGGAAUGAUAGAAAUUUAAACCCUUUUUAAAGUAUCAAUUGGAGGGCAAGUCUGGUGCCAGCAGCCGCGGUAAUUCCAGCUCCAAUAGCGUAUAUUAAAAUUGUUGCAGUUAAAAAGCUCGUAGUUGAAGUUCUGCUGAAAGUAACCGGUCUGCUUUUAAUAAAAGUGGUAUCUUGGUAUGUAUUUAGCAAUGAUGUCCUUUGAAGUGUUUUUUACUUUAUUGUAAUAAAGCAUAUUCAGGACUUUUACUUUGAGAAAAUUAGAGUGU
rnacentral:rRNA from 1 species